rnacentral:rRNA from 1 species
GUGUCAGCCGCCGCGGUAAAACCAGCACCUCAAGUGGUCAGGAUGAUUAUUGGGCCGAAAGCAUCCGUAGCCGGCUUUGUUAGUUUUCGGUUAAAUCCAUGUGCUCAACGCAUGGGCUGCCGAAAAUACUGCAUAGCUAGGGAGUGGGAGAGGUAGACGGUACUCAGUAGGAAGGGGUAAAAUCCUUUGAUCUAUUGAUGACCACCUGUGGCGAAGGCGGUCUACCAGAACACGUUCGACGGUGAGGGAUGAAGGCUGGGGGAGCAAACCGGAUUAGAUACCCGGGUAGUCCCAGCUGUAAACGAUGCAGACUCGAUGAUGCAUUGGCAUAAUAGCCAGUGCAGUGUCGCAGGGAAGCCGUUAAGUCUGCCGCCUGGGAAGUACGUACGCAAGUAUGAAACUUAAAGGAAUUGGCGGGGGAGCACCACAAGGGGUGAAGCCUGCGGUUCAAUUGGAGUCAACGCCAGAAAUCUUACCCGGAGAGACAGCAGAAUGAAGGCCAAGCUGAAGACUUUACCAGACAAGCUGAGAGGUGGUGCAUGGCCGUCGCCAGCUCGUGCCGUGAGAUGUCCUGUUAAGUCAGGUAACGAGCGAGAUCCCUGCCACUAGUUGCUAUCAUUAUUCUCAGGAAUAGUGGGGCGAAUUAGUGGGACUGCCGUUGUUAAAACGGAGGAAGGAAGGGGCUACGGCAGGUCAGUAUGCCCCGAAACUCUGGGGCCACACGCGGGCUGCAAUGGUAGUGACAAUGAGUUCCAAACUCGAAAGAGAGUGGCAAUCUCUAAACGCUACCACAGUUAUGACUGAGGGCUGUAACUCGCCCUCACGAAUAUGGAAUCCCUAGUAACCGCGUGUCAUUACCGCGCGGUGAAUACGUCCCUGCUC